rnacentral:misc_RNA from 1 species
GUGACAAGAUAAUCAUUCUGCCAAAGGCAACCAACUAGCAUGUCAUCCACUCCGCCAGAGCCGGAACAUGUCAAUGUUUUCUUCAAUUUUCCAUUACCAUCAUCACAGAUCUCCCACACUUUGGCUGACUUGUCGGCAGAAACAGUCAGAACCUGUUUACCAUCAGGACUCCAGCUAACAGCAUAAAUGCUUCCCUUGUGACUAUCUUCAGAAGACAACUCUCCAAUCUUCUCUCCAGUCUUCCCAUCAAACAAUAUGCCCUUCUUAUCGGAGCUUACACUAAUAAAUUUACUGCCAUCUGGAGAAAAUCUUAUGCAAUUGACAAAAUUUGAAUGAUCCCUGCGAGAUAGCUUGAAUCUAAAUGGAGGCCCUUCAUAGAAAUUCACCAAAAAAUCCUCCCCACAAGUCACUAUCCGAAAUGGUCUUGUUGGCUUAAAUGCACAGCUAAGAACUCGCCUCGAAUGGCCAUCAAAUUCCCCUACAUUAGUGCCUGAAUCCCACAUAAAAGCACGCACUAGCGAUUUGCCCUUGCCAUCUCCACACGCGACGAUCCUCAACCCAUCAGGAGACCACUGAAGAUCAUCGAUCCGGCCAGACAAAACUUUAAAUUCCUUCUUCAAGACGUGAUCAUUGUAAGCCCCCCAGAUCCUGACGGUACCGGAGACAUCAGCAGAGGCGAUCCACUCGCCGUUGGGGGAGUAACGAGCGACGGUAGCCUGAUAACCAUGGUCGCCGUAGACGGAGACAUCGAGAGGGUUAUCUAGGUUGAGGAUGAGGACUGAUCGAUUGUUGGUGAAGAGGAUGGAAUUGGAUUUCGGACCGCCGGAGAUUAGGAUUCCUCGGCCGCGCUCGGUGGUGGGAACGCACGCGUAGGUUUCAGAGAGGAGUGGCAUUGGCGGAGGAAAUGGAGAUUUGAUUUGAAAAGGAAAGUAGAAAUGGGAAAGUAAGAGUGGAGUUGUGCAAUACACGAAAGAAGAGAAAGGUGAUCACUGUUAGCAAACUUGCAGAAGAGUAAAAGGCGGAUGACCAUUGACCACAAGUGUUAAGCUGUUGAAUUAAGAAAUUGGAGGAAAAAUACACACAAGGCCCUCAAUUUCAG